GGAAGAGUCUCUUCUGGAGAUCUGCUCUGCUGGAGUUUUGUGAGUGAGCCCAGGAUAGGGAUGAAAAAUGGCUUUUACCUGGUGAGAUGGUGUUGCCUUUAUGGAAAUAAUUCUUGGUAGACCUCUUUGGAGUUAUUUGGCCACUUCUCAAGUUUUUCAAGGCAUGCAGCCAGUGUUGUGAUCUCCACCUUGGGUUUAGCGUCUAGAAGAAACAGGAGAAAUGGACAUCUGCAAAUGGUCUACCAGGAGACGUUCAGCUGGACUGCAUUUACUCAAGUGCUGGGACAAAUAGCCAGAGGAUCUAUGUGCCUCUGUACAGGUUUAUCAGUGGUAUCAAACCUACCUCUCAUCUUUGUCUCCAGAACAAAGGAGAUGUGACAUUAGUGAAACUCUUUCACUUACAAGCGAAAACAUCACAAACUGGAGGGCACUCAGUCUGCUCUUAGAGGGGCUGGUGAAUGAGAGAAGGUGAUAAAAAGAAUAAUAUCCUCAAUACAUUUUUAGAAUACCUGGUCAAGGUAGUCCUUCAUGCUAGACAAGUAUCAUGAAUCUUAGUUACAUAUAAAAUAAAAUAGCAGCCUUCUGGAUGGUUUAAGUUUACUUCUAGAGUUAAGAAUUGCAUUUAUUUUAAUUUAGGCCCAUUAUUUUGUGAUUUGUUAAA